CUUACCAUACAUGGUAAGAUGAUCUUUAUGAUAAUCAAUAGUCAAAUCCAGUGAAAGCAAGGAAGGAGGAGUUCCAUUAAGAACACUGGACACUACACAAACUGUACAGAAAUGUCAUUUCCAGAGGACAACACAUUUUAAUUCAGCAUGAAAAAAGAGCAUCAUAGUGUAUCAGAAAAAUUCCUACAAGAACAUGAAGUUUACACUGAAGAGACAGAAAAAAAAAGAAGUCAACAUAUACAUUCACAUGCCUUGAAGAGAAGAAAAUACAAAUGAGAGAUGGAGUCUGCUCCUUGUGCUGUUACACCAUCACUGAAUUGACUGAUACCAACAAAAAUGAUCAGAGCUUUAAACAGCCUGACCAAUAUCCUUCCACCUUUCACCUUCUCCACUCGCUGUUUUUUUGGUGAAGUUUAUCAUUCCCAUGUGUUCUAGGGUAGACAGCUCCUCAAUUUCAGCCUACAGACCAGGAAGUAAAAAGACCUCAUUAAAUCACUCUUCAUGAUAUACUCCAGGGGAUCAAAACUAGCACAGCUGUUCUCUGACAAGAAGCUCUGUUUGGAAGCAUCAUCUUGGAAUCCUGGAAAAUCUUCGCUGUCACUGGGGUUAUUAAAAAUGUUGGCCAGA